rnacentral:rRNA from 1 species
UAGUCAUAUGCUUGUCUCAAAGAUUAAGCCAUGCAUGUCUAAGUAUAAGCAACUUGUACAGUGAAACUGCGAAUGGCUCAUUAAAUCAGUUAUCGUUUAUUUGAUAAUCCCUUACUACAUGGAUACCUGUGGUAAUUCUAGAGCUAAUACAUGCUUCAAAGAGUGGCUUUCGUCACUCUGCACUUAUUAGAUAAAAAACCAAUGCCCCUUUGGGGCUCCCUGGUGAUUCAUAAUAAUUUAGCGGACCGCAUUCCCUCGAGGAGGCGGUGGAUCAUUC